CAUGUAACCUUUUAGCCUAUUACCUCCAAAUCCUUUGACAAAAUUAAUUAUUAUUGCCACUGUUAUGGGUUAGUGUUCAGUUGUGUAAAUUCGAUAUAAUUUGAAUUUAUGCAAAUCCACGAUUAGGGCUUUGCUGACAUUUUUAUGGCGCACUUUGUAUUAAUCAACUGCAUUCGUUUUGCUUUCGUUUUGUCUAAUAAGGGAGAGAAAACAAAAACUUUGUUGCUUUUGGAAUACUGUGUAUCUUCGACACAUGUGCAUUGCAGUUCCUUGCCACAUAUUCAAGUUGCAGGCUUUUAGUGGAAUUAUGUUGCAGGGUACAAAAAGUGUAGCCAUUUUGUUUGGUUGGAUGGAGAAAUGAACCUGAGGACAAAGGAAGUUAUUUCGUCAUUACUGCAGAAUUUGAAUAUGAGAAGUAGAAGGUGAAACAUUAUAUCAGGAAAGAUGAAGAAAUGAAGAUGAAAUUAUUGAAGAGGUAUUUGAAGCUCAAUUAAAUGAUUACCAUUGUUGGGUUAAUUGCACAUGUUAUUUCAACAAUAAUGAAAUAGGAUAGGCUUAAUAUGUUUAGGUUAUGUGUUGUAACAUGUUUAGGAUAUGUUGGUUCAAUUAUGUUCCUUUUUGUAACAUUGUUGGUUUAAGUUUAUAGGUCCAAUAUGUUGGUUCAGUUGUGUUCAUAUUUGUAACAUUGUGUAACUUGACUUGAUAAUGAAAUGAAACAACAAUAUGUUGGUUUAGUUGCAUAA